CUGAUUUUUAUAAACAUGGGAAGUUUUGCUUGUUGAAAAACUCCAUUAAUAAAAUAAAAAGAAAUUGAAAACUCAAGGUACAGAUUGGGAGAAAGUGUCUGCAAAGCAUAUAUCCGAGAAAGGACUUGUGGCCAGAAUAUAUAAAGAACCCUUAUAACACAAUAAUUAGAAGAAAACACAGUUUUAAAAAUGACCACAAGAAUUGUAUAGCCACUUCAGAAAAGAAGGCACGUGGAUGGCCUACAGCACAGGAACAGAUGAUCAACAUCAUUAGUCAUUUGGAAAGUUCACCUUCAGCCAUAAUGAAAUGGCCAUUUUGUUCUGAAACGAACGUGCGGGGUUUUACCUCCGGGAGGUGACUGAGCUCCAACGCCCAGAGGUCAGUGCCAUGGAAAGGAGAAUUUAUGGCUCACGUUUCACACAUCAGACUAGACAACAUGCCGAGUUUCUCCGAACAGUCUACACAGUCGGGAUGAGGAGAAACGAGCAGUUAUUCAGGCUGGUGUCUGAGUACAAAACAGGACAGGGAUCUGCCAGUUCCAGGAAAAACCGCACCCUGUGACCAGACGUCCCAGGUCUGAGGGCCAGGUUGGAGCGGCGUCUUCUCCAGCAAGAAACAGCCUGGAAGAAAGCUGCCAACCGCAGCGCUAGAAUAGGGCGCAAGCGUAUCACAGCACGCGAGUCCUUCACCGGGGUCUGGGGCGUGCCUAUGACGCAGCCCUGAAGGGAAUGCUGUUCCGCUGUUUUGCAGAAGAUCAGAAAUGUGCUCUUGGCAGAAUCACGCAGUAAAGAAGCUUUGGCAUCGGCUUUUGUCCUCCAGCCCAGUUCUCUGGAGAUUUCAUGCGAGCUGUUUGGACCAAUAACUCACUUCUACCGUUGAGCGUUAGUUCCACCCACUGAAGGACAUCUGGGCUGACUCCAGUUUCUGUUACAAAUAAAGGUGCUGUGAACACCCGUGUACAGGGUUUAUGUGAA